CCUCAUUUAUAGGUAUAUAAGGAGGUGGGGUGAAGAGUACUAAUGAUCCUGGACUCUUAUAGGAUUCUGCCUCCCUUCACAAUUUCAUGUUCCAAAACAUGCCAAAAAAAUAUGGGAUGCCCCUUUCCAUAUUUUUUUUUAUGGUAAAUAAGUUCUCCAAUAGAUCUUCUACAUAAAAUCUCUUUAAAAUGUCAUACAUAUAAGGAGAAAUAAAUUUAUUGGCAUG
rnacentral:lncRNA from 1 species